GUAAAAUCUAAGGACUUGUCAAGGGAGGAUAUAAGAACACAUCGUGGUGAUUUGGGUCAGAGAACCUCAGAAAGUAUCAGAAAUUGGAGGCACUAGCUACCUCAGAAAGCAUGAGCAAAGGGUAUGCUGACAGCUGAGAGACUCCCAGAUUCCCAACCUCAUCCUGCGGAGCCAGGCAGGAAAAGCAGUGAAGAUUUGGAAAAAUCGAAUCAAGAUGGGUCUUCAUUUGGAAAUGUCGGGCACAAGUGAAAAACUUCCCUGGUGGUUCAGACAGUGAAGACUCUGUCUACAAUGCAGGAGACCGGGUUCAAUCUCUGGGUUGGGAAGAUCGCCUGGAGAAGGGGAUGGGAACCCACUCCUGUAUUCUUGCCUGGAGAAUUCCAUCGACAGGGGAGCCUGGCGGGCUGCAGUCCAUGGGGCUGUAAGAGUCAGAUAUGACUGAGCGACUAACACUUCCACUUUUUUCAGUAUACUGAAUGGAGACGCUGCCCAGCCCUCUUUCUCUGGACUCCUGGAAUGCUGCCAGCCAGGAUUAUAUCUGCAUAUAGAAGAAGAUCAAAGAAUUUUCCAGAAAGAAACAAGAAAGGCCAGAUAUACCUUUGAUGGCUUUAAGGAAAUUGACAUAGCAUCACCCAACAACCAUCUGUUCUCAUACUUUAAGCCUACUCUCGGAAUCACUGCAAGUAGAGAGGGGAACUCUCUUCAGCGUUAUGUUGGAGUUCUACUUGGUAUCCUCAAGGGAGGCAAAACAUGUAGACCUUGGGAGCUCAUUUUCUGACAGAAUUUGGAACUUACCACUGUGAGAUCCAGGGAAAAUUACUUAACCUCUCUGAGUCUGCUUUCUCAGACUAUUGACUGUGUCUGUAUUGGAAGGAGAUCAUCGUAGUACUUGUUGGGUUUUCUGUGUAAAUGAAAUAAGAUGGUGUCUGUAAAUCACUUAUCUUGACAUGCACUCUGGAGAUCCAAGCUAUUUAUUACAAUCGCCAUAGUUACAUUACAAUUGAUUGGAGUGUGUAUACUUCUGAAGUUCAAUCGUUUUGUCUCCCUUAUGACCUGUACCCUAAGGAAUACCCCAGAAACACCCACAUUCUUGUAGACUCUCCCUUUCUUGAAAUGACUUACCAUCCUAGCCUGACACAGAAUUCAGAAGCAGGAGUCUGCAUGUCACAAAGGAAACCCUGGUAUCCAUGAUGGGAUGGAUGGACGGGGGGAUCUUCAUACUAGCUGCAUGUGUUUAGAUUUUGCAGAACCGCAGACCGUCUGGUAGCCAGAGGUGGUCGUUCCUUUAAUCCUUUCAUCUUUACAUUUUGCUAGUGAUUUCUGAGAGUACAAAACAAGAGAGCUCAAACCAGGGGUCCAUAAGGCAGAUUGUCCACAGGUGUGUGUGAUUUGCACCCAGAAGUGGCCCUGCUUUUUUUAUUAGUUAUCAGCACCAAGUAAAACUCAGACUUCAUUUAUUCUGUGGAUUUCUGAUUCCUGGGCAGAAACUCCUGUGCACACAUUUCUGCAUAGCAACUCCCAGCUGGAACUGAAAAGUAGCUGCCCACCUCACCCCCUUUAGAAGGGAUGUGCUUCCUCCUGUUCCCCUAGCCUCUGCCCUCCUUCCUGACUUAUUUAUGUAACCUGUCUUGUGUCUGGAUGCACUCGAGUUUAUGAUCCCCACACUAAGCCUCUGUGAGCCACAGGAAUGAAUUGCUCAUAGCAGAAGAGAUAUUGAUAGGCUUUCUUGGUGUCCCUAGAAAAAUCACAGUCUGUGAAGCCAAGUACAGGGAUUAAGG
rnacentral:lncRNA from 1 species